CGCGUAGGCGGCCCGGUAAGUCCGCCGUAAAAGUCAAAGGCUCAACCUUUGAAUGUCAGUGGACACUGCCGGGCUAGAGUCCGGAAGAGGCGAGUGGAACUCCUGGUGUAGCGGUGGAAUGCGCAGAUAUCAGGAAGAACACCGACGGCGAAGGCAGCUCGCUGGGACGGUACUGACGCUGAGGCGCGAAAGCGUGGGGAGCGAACA
rnacentral:rRNA from 1 species